rfam:TPA: Bos taurus chromosome 22, whole genome shotgun sequence.
UCCCUGGUGGUCCAGUGGCUAGGGCUCUGAACUCUAAAUGCAGAGGGCCCAGGUUUGAUCCCUGGGCAGGGAA